rnacentral:rRNA from 1 species
GACGAACGCUGGCGGCGUGCUUAACACAUGCAAGUCGAACGGAAAGGCCCUGCUUUUGUGGGGUGCUGGAGUGGCGAACGGGUGAGUAUCACGUGAGUAACCUGCCCUUGAUUUUGGGAUAACUUCAGGAAACUGGGGCUAAUCUCGGAUAGGAGCUCCUGUUGCAUGGUGGGGGUUGGAUAGUUUCGGCGGUUGGGGAUGGACUCGCGGCUUAUCAGCUUGUUGGUGGGGUAGUGGCUUACCAAGGCUUUGACGGGUAGCCGGCUUGGGAGGGUGACCGGCCACAUUGGGACUGAGGUACGGCCCAGACGCCAACGGGGGGCAGCGGGGGGGAAUAUUGCACAGUGGGCGGAAGCCGGAUGCAGCAACGCCGCGGGCGGAAUGACGGCCUUCGGGUAGUAAACCGCAUCCGCCUGUGACGAAGCGUGAGUGACGGCAAUGGAUAAAGAAGCACCGGCUAACUACGUG